GUCCCAUUUCAUUUUUUUUUCGCGCGUCGUGUUUAUCUCCCUUUUCCCUUUACAUAAUCCUGACGUGAUAUUUUAAUCAAUCCGAGAAGAAAUGCCGUGCUGGACUUGGCGAUAGAGAAGAGAGAAGGGAUU
rnacentral:ribozyme from 12 species